UCGUUAAAAAAACUCUGUCAUUCCAACAGACCAAUUUGGUUUCAAUAUCGACCACAUUAAAACACUGCUUUGAUGUUUACGGAAGACACUGGGAGUCAGUCCGACAUACAGCAGGCAGAAUGAGAGUUUUAAGAAUCAGAAGAACACUCGCUCAUUCACCGCAAAUAUAUAAUUUAAAACCUCGCCAACUGGCGCAGUACACGGAGAUGGCAAACAGCAAUGCCAAGCUGUGUGUGUCUGUUUUGGGUUCAUUGGGGAGAUGAGCUGGAGGAAGAGGGAGCUUCAAUCCUGGGGACCUGGAGACUGACGGGGAGGAAGAUGCUAUAUAGAGACUGGUGGUGCUGAUGCUGAGAAGAGUGGGAGACAAACUCAAUGAGGAGGUCCAGAAGGACGCCUCACUGUCCUCAGCUGUUUGUCUUCUAUGAGAGGACCAUCUCUACCAGCACUCAUGCUUCACCCAAAGCCCAAAUCGCCAUGACUUGAUAGGUGACCAGUCGCCUGUAAGCAGUGGACAGCCUCCCUAUGAGCCGGGUGCUGGGCUUCGGAGCCAAAUACCUGCAGGAUCACUUCUCUUCCUGGGCCAGACAGCAGGGUGGAUAUGAGGAAGCUUUUGUGAAUGAUGAUGAGGAGGAGGAAGUCGACUGUGCCAGAGGGAUUUCCCCCCAUUCUAUACCCCCAUUGUCUUAUUCCCGAUUAUCCACUCUUUUCCCAAAUAUGCACUUGUGCAUUUUCUGUCAUGGAUCAGAAUUUGAUUGGUGUAAUUAUUGGCUAAAGGGAGUUUCCACCAUUGUUAAAUCUAUGACGGGAAAGGAUGGAUAAUUGGGAUCUAGCUCUCUAACCCUAGCCCUAACCCCUAGAGAAGUUUCAACUCAGGGUAAUGCAUUGCUAUUAUUGCAUGCCCAAUUAAACAUAGCUUUUUCACAAAGAAACAUGUACAUAGAAAUAUAGAUGACUGUCUUCCAGAGCCAUAGGAUAUGAGGGAAACUGUUCAUCUCAAGCCCCAUUCCAUCUUAUGAAUUAUAAAUGUAUAUGAUAUAAGAAUGUAUAUGAAAGUACAGUAUUCAGGUGUUUUUGUUAAAAUAUUUUAAUUGGGACUAUAGGAAUGUAAAAAAAAAUAGACAAAUCUGUUGAAUGAAACAUUUACUUGUAUUUUACAUUCUAUUUAGUUAUUUACUUUUUUUAUUGUAAGAAUAAUGAUGAUGAGACUGCGUACCAUUGAUCAGUUUCACCUGUCCUUGUGCUUGUCUCCUCCCCCCUCCAGGUGUCGCCCAUCUUCCCUAUUAUCACCUGUGUAUUUAUACCUGUGUUCUCUGUCUUGUUUGUUGCCAGUUUGUCUUGUUUGUUCAAGCGGUUUUCCUGUCAACGCCUAUUGUUUCCAAGCCUUGCUUUACUAGUCCUCCUGGUUUUGACCGAUGCCUGACCCUGCACCUUUGCUCCACCUCUGGAUUACUGAACCCUGCCUGACCCUGAGUCUGCCUGCUGUCCUGUACCGUCGCCUAACCCUUGAUUUUUGACCCCUUCCUGCCUUGACCUGUCUUUGCAUGCCCCUGUUUGCUACAAUAAACAGGGUUACUUUGA